CCACUGUACACUAUAGAAUAAAUAUUCCAAGGAGAGAGGUCAUAUUAAUAACCGACAACCAACUACUCCCUGCAUCCGAAGUGGUGAACACACUUUGGACUUGGGGGCAACUAUUAUGGGGAUUAUCUGCUAUCAAACCCAACUCUCCUUCUCGAAUCACAACCUAGCAGCCAUUGAUGAUCCGAUAAGGCAAGACCACCUU
rnacentral:lncRNA from 1 species